CAGUAUUUUUCUGAUUUAAUAAUAUUUUAAUAACUGACGCUGCAUUUAUUUAAUUUUUUUGCCAGUUUAAAAUGUUUGUGUGUUUUUAUAGAUGAUUUUAACUGGUACAUAUUUUGAGUUAAGAUGAAUGUAUGAAAGCAGCAUCUUAUCAGUUUUGUUUAUUCGAUUUCUAAAAUGUGCUGAUCCUUUUAAAACUCCUGCUUAUCUCUGCAACAAAGAAAAAUAUUCAAAAAUACUGCCUUCAUUUUCACACACAGUGCUGAAGAUGCUGCAAGCACCAAAUCAUAGCUCAUAAAAUCAGGUCCUGAGAUAGUUACCCAUAAAGAGGAAUCCUUUGAGUGUAUGCCAUUGGUGAGCCGAUGAGCAUGGACCAUAGAAGGGCUCAAUGUAGAAGAAACUACCCGUGUGUAAAAAGAAGAUUGGCUUAAAAUGGCUACUGUGAUGGGAACAGUGUCUUAGGGAGAUGCAGCUUGGACUUGAGGUAAAUUGAAUACUUUACAACUGUGGUUUAGAGUUUGCUUUAAUGACAUUGUAUGUAAAAGGUCACAUGAUUGCUGUAAUUUUGUAUUCAUUAUGGUUUCCUCAAUAAAUGUACAUUGAUGAAUAUUA
rnacentral:sRNA from 1 species